CUAUUACAGAAAAAAAAUCACCAAGAACCAUGGGACCUCUUCUGGAGCAAGUGCUCACUGCACUGGCCCUUUGGAGCCUGGUAAUCAGCACCAGGGAGGCAGCGGCGUGCAUCCCAGGAGAGAGGGAUGCUCUGGUUGCCUUCAAUGCCAGUAUCAAUGAUCCUCAUGGGAGGUUAAGUUCAUGGCAAGGAGAAAACUGCUGUGACUGGAGCGGGAUCAUAUGCCGCAAGGAGACUGGCCAUGUCGUCCAGCUGGACCUUGGCGGAUACGCUCUUCAAGGCGAGAUCAGCCCAUCUUUGGCUGGUCUCACCAACUUGGUGUAUCUCAACCUCAGCCAGAGUGACUUCGGCGGGGCGAGCAUCCCAGAAUUCAUAGGCUCUUUCAAGUUGUUGAGGUAUCUUGAUCUUUCCAGUGCUCAUUUUGGUGGUCCAGUCCCUCCUCGGCUUGGUAAUUUAACAAGGCUCCAAUAUCUUAACCUGUCUGAUUCUCUUAUGAUAACUGUCAAUAAUUUCCACUGGGUCUCCAAACUGACUUCCUUGAGGUAUCUUGACCUCAGUUGGUUAUAUCUUGCUACCGCCUCGGAUUGGCUGCAGGCCCUGAAUAUGCUUCCUUUGCUCCAAGAGCUUCACUUGAAUGAUGCAAGCCUUCCUGCCACUAAUCUCAAUUGUCUUCCUCAGGUCAACUUCACCACCAUUAAAAUACUUGAUCUCAAGAGUAACUCUAAUAUGAAUUCUUCCUUGCCAAGUUGGAUUUGGAAUCUAUCUUCCCUUUCAGAGUUGGAUCUCUCUAGCUGUGGGCUUUCUGGUAGGAUUCCUGAUGAGUUAGGAAAACUGACAUCGCUUAGGUUUUUAUCACUAGCGGACAAUAAGUUGAAAGGAGGGAUACCAGGAUCAGCAAGUAGUUUUUGCAACUUAGUACACAUCGAUUUGUCUGGAAACCUUUUGUCAGGAAAUAUAACAGAAAUAGUGAAGGGUCUGUUACCCUGCAUGAAUAGGUUGCAAAUCCUUAAGCUUGCUAAUAACAAGCUAAAGGGAUAUCUUUCUGGUUGGCUUGAGCAAAUGGCAAGCUUACGAAUUCUUGAUCUCAGUAAGAACUCACUAUCUGGAGAUGUACCAGCCAGCAUGGGCAAGCUAUCUAACUUGACACACUUGGAUAUUUCCUUUAAUUCAUUUGGAGGCAAGUUAUCAGAAGUCCACUUUGUCAAUUUAUCAAGACUGGAUACUUUAAUUUUAUCAUCGAAUUCCUUCAAGAUUGCAAUGAAGGAGGGCUGGGUUCCACCCUUUCAACUCAGAGAGCUAGGGAUGCAUGCCUGCUUAGUAGGGCCACAAUUUCCGACUUGGCUGCAAUCACAGUCAAGAAUCGAGAUGAUUGAUCUAGGCUGUGCAGGCAUCAGUGAUGUGUUACCUGGCUGGAUCUGGAAUUUUUCUUCAUCAGUUACAAGCUUAAAUAUCUCAACAAACAAUAUAACUGGGAUGUUGCCUGCAAGUUUGGAGCAAUUGAAAAUGCUGACAAGUCUGAACUUGAGGUAUAAUCGACUUGAGGGAAGUAUUCCUGAUUUGCCAACUAGUGUUCAACUGUUGGAUCUAUCCUACAACCACUUGUCUGGAUCAUUGCCGCACAGCUUUGGAGGUAAUGAAUUGUAUUACCUGCUGCUCUCAAACAAUUCACUUAUUGGAGCAAUCCCAGAAGACCUAUGCAACAUGGUACUGAUGGAAGUUAUCGAUCUGUCCAGGAACCACCUUUCAGGGGAGGUUCCAAACUGUUGGAAUAAGAACUCAAACCUAUAUAUUAUAGACUUUUCAAGCAAUAAUUUCUGGGGAGAAAUACCAUCAGCCAUAGGUUCCCUAGAUUCUCUCAUCACGUUGCACCUCGGCAAGAAUAACUUUUCUGGAACUUUGCCCACCUCAUUGCAGUCAUCUAAUAGGCUGGUCCUUCUUGAUCUCGGGGAGAAUAAUUUGUCAGGAAAUAUACCAAAAUGGAUCGGUGACAGCCUACAAGCGCUGCAGUUUCUGAAUUUAAGGUCUAAUCAGUUUUCUGGUGAAAUACCUACACAACUGUCCCAGCUUAAUGUUCUACAAUGUUUGGACUUGAGUAAUAACAAACUAUCUGGCCCUGUACCACAUUUCCUAGGAAAUUUCACAGCCAUGCACCAUAAUCCAGAAUGGAGCAUAACUACUCCUUUUAUUGCAUUCAUGGUUUACGGUGUUGGGGGUGCUUACUUUUCGGUGUACACAGAUACUUUACAGAUGACGUACAAAGGUUACACAUUUACUUUUACCAGACCCGAAUAUCUCAAGGGCAUUGAUCUUUCAGCGAACCAAUUAACUGGCGAAAUUCCCAGUGAACUAGGAUUUUUAACUGGAUUGGCUAGCUUGAAUCUGUCAAGAAACUGCAUUGGAGGCAGUAUUCCUGAUGAAUUGAGAAGAAUGACCUGCUUACACUCACUUGAUCUCUCAUGGAAUGGUCUAUCAGGGCCAAUUCCUCAGAGCUUGACAUCACUGGAAGGGCUGUCCCAUCUGAACCUAUCCUACAACUACCUCUCAGGAAACAUACCAUUAGAAUCUCAAUUUGCCACUUUCGUUAAAGAUUCUUAUUUGGGCAACGCGAAUCUUUGUGGGCCCCCAGUAUCAAGAAUCUGUUUACCCAACAGCAGCAAGCAUCGACACCAUAAACUUCCUCACCAUUUCGAUACGAUGACAUACCUAUAUAUGUUACUGGGGUUUGCAUCUGGAUUCUCCAUUGUCCUCGUCAUCCUUAUAUCCAGUGCAGCUGCAAGGAAGGCCUACUUUGAGUUCACUGAUGACCUCCUCCGGUCCACAAGUUGCAAGCUGCAGCAGAGAUGAGGCUCCAUAUCAGCAGGAAGAAACUGUUAGUUUAAUCUCAAUCCGGAUCGGUCCAACGACCGAUCCGGAAUCGGUUACGCGCCCCGAUCGGGGGCGCACCGCCAACCCAAUGGCGGGUGGGCCCCCGUCGCGCAGCGCCACAAUAAAAGGAAGGGUGGGGGCCGGGGCACGGAUGACUAAGUUCGCCGUGUGCCUACGAACCCACCUAAAACCCUAAUUGAUCCGAUCCCAAAGGGUGGGCGCUGAAGCGACGGGAAGCACCAUCGCCGCCGCCUCUACACCCACGCCGGCUCCUCUGCAUCAUCACCGCCGGCACUGCUCGACCUCACCGCCGCUCGUCCGCUCUCGUCCACGACUCCGAUCGGCUUCCUCCUCGACGUAAUGGCCAACAACGGCGAAGCCGGGGCUUCGACCGGUGGAUCUAAUGCCAUGACCUUCAUUAACGCUAUACCGCCGUUGGAUGGUUCCAACUACGGGAUAUGGGCACAGAAACUAGAAGUGGCUCUCGCACUGUCAGACAUUGAUUUCGCUAUCACCUCACCGUUUCCAGUUUGUCCUGAGGAACUGGUGAGGGACCCGGAAGAGACCUCUGCCGCUUGGCAAGCUCGUCAGAGAGAACAUGCAAAUGUUCAAAUGAAGUUUGAUCUUGAGAAAGCAAAAUGGAUCUCUUCCAACAGAAAGUGUUUGAUGGUUAUCAAGAGUUCCAUCAUAGACAGUAUCAGAGGAGCAAUCCCAGAUUGCCCCACCGCAGUUGAGUACUUAAAGAAAGUGGAGAGUCAAUUUGUUGGCUCUUCAAAAGCUUAUGCUCAGACUCUGAUUCAGAGGUUAGUUAAUGAUAAGUACUCUGGCGGUGGUGUGAGAGAGCACAUACUGAAAAUGAGCAAUAUGGCAUCCAAGCUCAAACCUAUGGACAUGGAGCUUCCUCAUGCUUUUAUUGUUCAUUUGGUUCUAGCUUCUCUGCCAAAAGAGUUUGAGACUUUUGUUGUUAACUACAACAUCAGCCCAGAGACAUGGGACUUAGAGAAGCUCAUUGCGAUGCGUGUGCAAGAAGAGGAAAGACUCAAAGCCUCGCAUGGUGACACGCUCAACUAUGUUAGGCACAACAAAAGAAACAACUCUUCAGAUAAAAACACGAGGCCACAAGGGAAACCUCAGUUCAAACGAGGUUUCACUUCUUCUUCUUCUUCUUCGACUCACCCGGGGAAGGGUGCAAAGAAAGAUCAACCACACAUUGAAAAGGAUCAAUGCAUGUGGUGUCACAAGACGGGACACUACAAGAAAGAUUGCCCAGAUUUUCUACGGCAUUUAAUUAAGAAAGGGUAUAAGUACAAAGACGAUGCUACAAAGAGGGGAUAGAUGGCUGAAAGUCGCCAGUGGAGUUAGAGCCGACGUUGAAGCAGUUUGUCAACUCACGUUAGAAUUAGAGAAUGGCUUUAAACUCCAGUUACAUAAU